UAACAGGAGUAGUAUAAAAGCCUGAGCAGCUCCUCUUCAGUCACCGUCAACAUGAAGGUCUUGUUGCUGUUCGCUCUCGUUGCGGCUGCUGCAGCCUGGCCGAACUUUGGCUUCCAGUCGGACGCCGGAGGUGCGUCUGAUGCACAGAAGCAACAUGACGUGAACUUCCUGCUUCAUAAGAUCUACGGGGAUAUCCGUGACUCUAAUCUUAAAGGCAAAGCUGAUUCCUUUGACCCAGAGGCCGAUUUAUCCCAUUCAGUGACGGAGGGAAGCAAUACAGAAACUUGUGAGAGGACCUUAAGGAUAAUAGGCUCUGCAACAAUAGCAUGCGUUCUCUCUCUUCAAUCCUAUACAACGCGAAGAAAGCACUAUAGCUUUUUGAGUUCUCAUCAUGCAAGGAUUGGGAUGCUUGGUCAGUAAUGCUGCCUACUUCCCCCACCAAAUUAUGAAUGAGGGAGAAUUUGUUUAUGCCUUGUAUGUGGAGGUCAUCCACUCAUCUCUGCUGAACACGUUGUACUUUUCCUCCACUCUAUGAAGGCACGCCACAUCUCUUUCACCAACAGCGAAGUCAUUAAGGCAGCUUAUCGUGCAAGCAACACAAAAAACCUGGUAAUUAAAGUCUAGCUUCACGGAACUAAGAUAGAAUCCUGAACAAGAGUAGCCUAUUUGGAUGAGGACAUUGGAAUGAACACUCAUCCGUCACCUGGCAUAUGGAAUUCCCAUUCUGGUGGCAGGGACAAAUACAGCAUCAUCUGGAUCGCAAAGGACGAGAAUUUCUUCUGGUAACAUCAUCAACUACGUUCGUUUUGAUGCUGAACGUCCUCUCCAAUAUUUGGAUUUUGAUCCCGGCGACGAAACUUCACUGGGAGAAGGCCAUCGUAACAAGCCCUAAUGUGCAGUAUAUGGAAGCCUGCACAAUACUGCUCACAGUACUUGGUCGACAGAGACUUGAAUACAAUCUCAUUAACGCCGUGAUGACACUGAACAGAUUGCAGAUGUUAGGACAUUUCUACUUAUGUGGCCUCGCUGAAAUCACAAGAUUUAAAAUCAAGAUUGAUGUUAAUCAAUAACAAUGGCGAGGAAGUGUCUAAGCUGCCCGUUCGCGUUUCGCUGGCUCACCUUGAUAAAACAAUGGUAUUGAUUCAUCCCUCGACGAAGGCCGUUGGAAUGCUAUUGAAUUGGACAAGUUAUGGGUUAAGAUGUGCCUACUGGAAAACGAAAUCGAACGUAAAUGCUCGGAAUCUGCUGUUACUGUGCCUGAUGUGCCUAGUUUCGCAACUCUCUUUGAGAAGGCCAAAGAAGCCUUGGGAGGUGCAGACUCUGGACUUAAAGGUUUCGAGAGUGCAACUGGUAUUCCUAAUCGAUUCCUUCUCCCUAAGGGUAAUGAACAGGGUCUGGAAUUCGACCUUGUUGUAGCCGUGACUGAUGGCGCAGCCGAUGCAGCAGUGGAUGGACUCCACGAAAAUACCGAAUUCAAUCACUACGGUUUCCCAUGGAAAAUACCCUGACAAUCGCCCACAUGGCUACCCUCUGGAUCGCAAGGUUCCCGAUGAACGUGUAUUCGAAGAUCUUCCAAACUUUGGUCACAUCCAAGUUAAAGUCUUCAAUCAUGGCGUACAUAUCCAUCACCAUUAGGAAACUCCAUUUCAAUAACAGUUCUUUAUAGAUUUAAUGAUGAAAUGUGAUCUGCUAUUUAACAGCUAAUGGCCCAAGUGAAGUUUUCACCCAUGGUCAGCAUACUCCCCAUCAUUGAAGUUAACCACCAGUAAUGCGAUGUAUGAUUUUUGUUUUGGUGUUGACGGUGAAGAUAUGUAUCCCACAAUUUCUGUAUGAAGAGCAAAUAAAAGAUAUUGCAAUCAAAA